ACGACCGCGUUUCGGCGUGCUUACACAUGCCAAGUCGUAACGGGGNNUGCACUUGGUAGUAAUACCUUGUACAUCUAGUGGCGAACGGGUGCGUAACACGUGAGUAACCUACCCCGAAGUCUGGAAUAACACCGGGAAACCGAUGCUAAUACCAGAUGCCCUCAUUUGAUCGCAUGAUCGGAUGAGGAAAGUUUUUCGCUUCGGGAGGGGCUCGCGGCCUAUCAGCUUGUUGGUGAGGUAAUGGCUCACCAAGGCUUCGACGGGUAGCUGGUCUGAGAGGACGAUCAGCCACACUGGGACUGAGACACGGCCCAGACUCCUACGGGAGGCAGCAGUGGGGAAUAUUGCGCAAUGGGCGAAAGCCUGACGCAGCAACGCCGCGUGGAGGACGAAUGCCUUNUUGGUUGUAAACUCCUCUCAGCAGGAACGAAAUUGACGGUACCUGCAGAAGAAGCCCCGGCCAACUACGUG
rnacentral:rRNA from 1 species